rnacentral:ncRNA from 2 species
AAAAACAGAAGAGGAGCGUUACCCAGGUAUCUAUGUUGCGGGGCCCCACCCCAAGGCAGCAUAAGAGAGGGGGAGUAACGCCGAGAUACUGCCGGACAGGGGGCCUGCAGUAUCGGCCACGAAGGUUGAAUCCUUCUGGCUGUCACCUUUCUCGAGUGAAAGGUGGGGAGCUUCUGGUUGU